rnacentral:rRNA from 1 species
GACGAACGCUGGCGGCGUGCUUAACACAUGCAAGUCGAACGAUGAAGCACCAGCUUGCUGGUGUGGAUUAGUGGCGAACGGGUGAGUAACACGUGAGUAACCUGCCCCUCACUCUGGGAUAAGCCUGGGAAACUGGGUCUAAUACUGGAUACGACCGAUCUCCGCAUGGAGUGUUGGUGGGAAGUUUUUGUGGUGGGGGAUGGACUCGCGGCCUAUCAGCUUGUUGGUGGGGUAAUGGCCUACCAAGGCGACGACGGGUAGCCGGCCUGAGAGGGCGACCGGCCACACUGGGACUGAGACACGGCCCAGACUCCUACGGGAGGCAGCAGUGGGGAAUAUUGCACAAUGGGCGAAAGCCUGAUGCAGCGACGCCGCGUGAGGGAUGACGGCCUUCGGGUUGUAAACCUCUUUCACCAGGGACGAAGCUAACGUGACGGUACCUGGAGAAGAAGCACCGGCUAACUACGUG